CCUUACCGAACUACCAUCUGUGGGGGCUUUUCCCCAUCCAAAUCAAUAAUAGUCUCAGGCUCUGUGUCCCUUGUGCUCACAGGUUCCACAUCAAUCUGAAAGUGGGGAACGAUACUGCUUUCCAUCUCAACCCACGGUUUGAUCAGAACGUGAUUGUUCGAAAACUCUAAGCUCAACAUGUGCUGGGGCUCAGCAGAGCGACACCUGCCUGUGGGAUGCCUCUGUUGCGUGGCCAACCCUUUACCAUCUUGAUUCAGUGUGAAGCACACUGCUUUAAGGUGGCUGUGAACGGACAUCAUCAGUUUAACUACAAACCAUCGCAUACAUAACCUGCAUC